AUUGAACGCUGGCGGCAUGCCUUACACAUGCAAGUCGAACGGCAGCACGGGAGCAAUCCUGGUGGCGAGUGGCGAACGGGUGAGUAAUAUAUCGGAACGUGCCCGGUCGUGGGGAUAACGUAGCGAAAGCUACGCUAAUACCGCAUACGAUCUACGGAUGAAAGCGGGGGAUCGCAAGACCUCGCGCGAUUGGAGCGGCCGAUAUCAGAUUAGGUAGUUGGUGAGGUAAAGGCUCACCAAGCCGACGAUCUGUAGCUGGUCUGAGAGGACGACCAGCCACACUGGGACUGAGACACGGCCCAGACCUCCUACGGGAGGCAGCAGGUGGGUAAUUUUGGACAAGUGGGCGCAA
rnacentral:rRNA from 1 species